ACGUAGGGGGCAAGCGUUAUCCGGAAUUACUGGGUGUAAAGGGAGCGUAGGCGGCAUGUCAAGCCAGAUGUGAAAGCCCGGGGCUUAACCCCGCGGAUUGCAUUUGGAACUGGCAAGCUAGAGUACAGGAGAGGAAAGCGGAAUUCCUAGUGUAGCGGUGAAAUGCGUAGAUAUUAGGAAGAACACCAGUGGCGAAGGCGGCUUUCUGGACUGAAACUGACGCUGAGGCUCGAAAGCGUGGGGAGCAAACAGGAUUAGAUACCCUGGUAGUCCACGCCGUAAACGAUGAGUGCUAGGUGUUGGGGAGGAAUCCUCGGUGCCGCAGCAAACGCAAUAAGCACUCCACCUGGGGAGUACGACCGCAAGGUUG
rnacentral:rRNA from 1 species